CAGUCGCCGCGGGAACACGAAGGGGGCUAGCGUUGCUCGGAAUGACUGGGCGUAAAGGGCGCGUAGGCGGAUUGUUUAGUUAGGCGUGAAAUUCCUGGGCUUAACCUGGGGACUGCGCUUAAUACAGGCAGUCUAGAGUGAGGAAGAGGGUUGUGGAAUUCCCAGUGUAGAGGUGAAAUUCGUAGAUAUUGGGAAGAACACCGGUGGCGAAGGCGGCAACCUGGUCCUUGACUGACGCUGAGGCGCGAAAGCGUGGGGAGCAAACAGGAUUAGAUACCCCAGUAGUCCCUGUCUCUUAUAC
rnacentral:rRNA from 1 species